GAUGAACGCUGGCGGCGUGCUUAACACAUGCAAGUCGAACGGAAAGGCCACAGCUUGCUGUGGUACUCGAGUGGCGAACGGGUGAGUAACACGUGGGUGAUCUGCCCUGUACUUCGGGAUAAGCUUGGGAAACUGGGUCUAAUACCGGAUAGGAAUCACAUGUGGGUGUGUGGUUGGAAAGCUUUUGCGGUAUGGGAUGAGCUCGCGGCCUAUCAGCUUGUUGGUGGGGUAAUGGCCUACCAAGGCGUCGACGGGUAGCCGGCCUGAGAGGGUGUACGGCCACAUUGGGACUGAGAUACGGCCCAGAUUCCUACGGGAGGCAGCAGUGGGGAAUAUUGCACAAUGGGCGCAAGCCUGAUGCAGCGACGCCGCGUGGGGGAUGACGGCCUUCGGGUUGUAAACUCCUUUCGUCAGGGACGAAGCGAAAGUGACGGUACCUGGAUAAGAAGCACCGGCUAACUACGUG
rnacentral:rRNA from 1 species